CCGCCUGAACUUUAGCAUAUCAAUAAGCGGAGGAAAAGAACCAACAGGGAUUGGCCCUAGUAACGGCGAGUGAAGCGGCAACAGCUCAAAUUUGAAAGCUGGCUUAGGCCCGCAUUGUAAUUUGCAGAGGAUGCUUUUGGUGAGGUGCUUCCCGAGUUCCCUGGAACGGGACGCCAUAGAGGGUGAGAGCCCCGUAUGGAUGGACACCAAACCUGUGUAAAGCUCCUUCAACGAGUCGAGUAGUUUGGGAAUGCUGCUCAAAAUGGGAGGUAAAUCUCUUCUAAAGCUAAAUACCGGCCAGAGACCGAUAGCGCACAAGUAGAGUGAUCGAAAGAUGAAAAGCACCUUGAAAAGGGGGUUAAACAGUACGUGAAAUUGUUGAAAGGGAAGCGCUUGUGACCAGACUUGCGCCGGGCAGCUCAUCAGGGGUUCUCCCCUGUGCACUCUGCCCGGCUCAGGCCAGCAUCGGUUCUCGUGGGAGGAUAAGAACAGUAGGAAUGUGGCCCCCUCUCGGGGGGGUGUUAUAGCCUAUUGUACGAUACUCUCGUGGGGACCGAGGUUCGCGCUCCGCAAGGAUGCUGGCGUAAUGGUCAUCAGCGACCCGUCUUGAAACACGGACCAAGGAGUCGUCCAUUAGAGCGAGCGUUUGGGUGUAAAACCCGCACGCGUAAUGAAAGUGAACGCAGGUGAGAGCUUCGGCGCAUCAUCGACCGAUCCUGAUGUCUUCGGAUGGAUUUGAGUAAGAGUUUUAACGGACGGACCCGAAAGACAGUGAACUAUGCUUGUAUAGGGUGAAGCCAGAGGAAACUCUGGUGGAGGCUCGCAGCGGUUCUGACGUGCAAAUCGAUCGUCAAAUAUGAGCAUGGGGCGAAAAGGACUAAAUCCGAAUUUUUCCGCCCCC
rnacentral:rRNA from 1 species